AAUAAAAUGGCUGAGUUAUAAAGCGAUAAAUUGUAAAUUUAUUAACGGGAAAAUUUCUCUUUUAUUA
rnacentral:tRNA from 1 species